CCCCCCCAAAAAAAAAAACACCUAGCUUUUUGCUUCCCUUUGUUCCCCUCUCUCUCUCUCUCUCUCUCUCUCUCUCUCAAAAUCUCUCUUUCUACUUCAAAUGAAAAUGAACCCGUUCACUGUUUCCUGUUGAUGCGCACCAUAAAGAUUUCCGACCUUUUUGUGAAGGAUUAAUAUAUUCUUAGGGCCCCGAUUCUUACCAAAAUGAAAAGUAUUGUUAGUUAUCCCACCUUUAUUCAUUAAAAUUUUAUUCAUUAAAUGCUGUUGAAUUUAUAAACGCAAACAAAAUGACCCAUUUAUGUUUAUAUUUUAAAAAAUCCUUAUCACAUUUUCGAAUGUAAUAGUUAGAAGAGCCGUGAAUCAUAAUCAUCUACAUAAACGAGCUGCGUAGCCCAAUAC
rnacentral:lncRNA from 1 species